ACUCAAAGGAAUUGACGGGGGCCCGCACAAGCAGCGGAGCGUGUGGUUCAAUUCGAUGCUACACGAAGAACCUUACCUGGGUUUGACAUAUACGUGGUAGAGAACGGAAACGGGAUCGACCCUUCGGGGAGCGUAUACAGGUGCUGCAUGGCUGUCGUCAGCUCGUGUCGUGAGAUGUCCGGUUAAGUCCGGUAACGAGCGCAACCCCUGCUGUAUGUUACAUGUGUCAUACGGGACUGCCGGUAUCAAGCCGGAGGAAGGUGGGGAUGACGUCAAGUCAGCAUGGCCUUUAUAUCCAGGGCUACACACACGCUACAAUGGCCGGUACAACGGGUGGCAAGACCGCGAGGUGGAGCCAAUCCUCAAAAUCGGCCUCAGUUCAGAUUGCAGGCUGCAACCCGCCUGCAUGAAGUCGGAGUUGCUAGUAAACGCGCGUCAGAAUUAGUGCGUUGAAUACGUUCCCGGGCCUUGUACACACCGCCCGU
rnacentral:rRNA from 1 species